CCCCACAUUGCUUGCUUUAGAAGAAACUAGAAUGAGAAAAAGAAAGCAAGUAAAAAUCAGGUAUGGUAUAUAGGACUCGCUGGAAGCCAAGCUGGUUUGUGACAUCUGGGACACUAGACCUGCUACGUCAGCUGCUACGAACGGCGGAACUGUUUUAAGUGACUACACUCAAAACUAUUCCUUCCCCAGGGUUUUGAUAAUUCCUCCUGCCAAUUAUAGCACUUUGCGGAGAUUAACUAAUUAAUCCUCACCACACACCCAAGAGACAAAAUUAAAGAUAAUUCUUUCACACGUGUAAAGCACUUUUAUCUAAGGAUUACUAGCACCGAGGCAUUUGUCUCCCAUGACAACGUUGCAAGUCUCAGAGAUGACAAAGACGAUCGUUACCAUUUCGGGAACUGGGAACAAAGAAAACUCUCCCCUCUAGGACCCAGAAGAGGACACUGGGGGUGAGGGGGUGUCUCAGAACAGGUACACGUUGGCAAGUUUGGCACUGGAGUGCUAUGCCUGCGUUCCUGGGGUCCGAAUGGGAAUGUCCAGGUGGGGCUGUGACCCCUCUGGCCACCCUUCUUCAUGCUGUCCAUAAAACCCCAGGGAGCUGCAGAGCGAGAGGUGGUUCCACGGGGGUAUCCCAGCCCGUGUUUGGCUUCCUCCUCUCCCCCCUUGUCUCCAAAAUGCGGGUUCCACAUGCUAUUUGCCAAGUUCUGUCUGGCACUGAGAUGAAGUGGAGCCAGUAGGCCAACGCCGUGGGGAAGGGAGAGCCUGAAAACGACAUUGCAAACGGAGGACCUCCAGGGAGAGGAGUAACAGAGUUGUGGCUGGUCGUACUGUGGAGCGCUUCUAGAAGAUUUACGUGUAGCACCUGCUUCACUUGCUUCUGAGAAAGUCUUUGUUUCUAGAUGUCCACUCUCUCCCCCUGGAGCCGGCCAGAAUGGUGACAACCAGAAAGCCUGGGAAACCUCAUGCUGAAGUGCGUGGAGCUGCUGUCAGGCUGGCUCUGCCACUACCUGCAACUCUUUAGUUUAGUAGCCUAGUGUAAUGAGGUCAUAUGACAUUUUCUGUUUUCUUCCAAAAGUUUUCAAGUUUUCCUUUUCACAUCUAGAUCUUAAAUAUGCUUGGCCUUGGCUGUUAUGAUGGCCAUAAAUUAUAGUCUUUUUUCAAAUGAAUAAACAACUAUCCUGUUACCCAA